CCAUCCCCAUCCCUGGUGGCUGUGUUCGGUCACACACCUCCCAGUCUCACCUAAAAUGAGCAGCAUUCCCACAGCGAGGACAGGAUGGGUCCUGCCGAGCAAGAUCCAGUGCCCUGCCUGCUCCAGUGGCCUCAGGAUGUUGGCAGCCAGCUCCAGGAAAGCCCCUCCUCACAGAUCACCCUGCCAGGAGCUGCCAGAGCAUAUUUCAAGUCUCAGCAUUCCAUCAGCCCUGCACGAGAGCAGGUCUCGCUGUGGGUCCGUGCUAUGGAUGGAUUCUCUGCCUGGAGCAGCACAUCCAAGGCCCAAGGGAUGAUCAGGGCCUUUAACCAGCUGGGGACCAAGGACAAAUGAUCCAGAUCUCAGGCCCAAGAGCACAAACAACGUGGGCUGAAGAGAGAAAAACAAGGAUGGGACUGCAUGGGCUAAAGCUGGAACUGGACAAUGAACUGCAAUCUGCAAAUGGACCAGAACUUAUAAAAGUGUAAGACCCCGUGAGCAGUUGUCCAUUUUUUGUGACCAUUUUGGGUUCACCUGGGGUCAGCCCUGUCUGGGUUUUUGUGCUACCCAAGGUGGAUCCAUUGAGGCCUCCUAAUAAAUCCCUGCUUUAUUCUUUAGCUCUGUCCAGCCUCUGUCCUAGGUCAGCUUUGACAAGCCAUCAGUAUCCCGUCCUCAUUCCCACCACAAGAGCAGAGAGGAGCUGAGGUUUGAUGCCAUGACAAGAUCAUGAUUGUUUCUCCAUCCCAGAGAGAUCCCAGUGGUGCUGGGGAGCUGGAUCCCUCUAGGAUGUUAAAACUGGGAGCACUGUCACUGCAAAGGGGGGUGUGAGCAUCUCUCUUGCAGCUCUCUGCAUCUGUAUUACUGACAUCACUAACAAAGCUGCCAGGAGUCUCUGAGGAUGCACAGCUUUCCUACAGCCCAGGGCUGGGAGAUUUCCAAGUGACAUCCAUUCUCUGCAGGGCUGUUUUUAAUGCAGAUACACUGCAGAGCCAUUGGGGAGGGUGGGCAAGAACCAUCUUUGGGGGAAAAUAAUCCCCACAUCUGUGUCUUGUGGGGAGUGAGGAGCUGUCUGCUCUUGUGCCCCAAGCCAAACUUCUGGUCUCUAGGAGGACAGACACUCUGGCAGCCUUGUGGGCUGGGAUCUGACUCUCCCAGAGGGGAAAAAAAAGGGCAAUUUGAUGAUUUGCAGUGUGGUGUCCAGGACUUGCAGGGGGACACUGUCAGUGCCACUCUCUGUCACCACCGUGAAGGUGCCCCCAGCUCUACAGGGGCAGGGACAGCUUCUCCCUGGGCGACCCAGGAUUUCCAGCUGCAUGUGAAAAAGCAGCAGCAGCACACAGAGCUCAGAGGUCAGCCAUCACCUCUUGCAGUGCUCCUUCCUAAUCAGAGCUGAGAAAGAUCCAGCAGUGAUCCUGCUGCUCCCUCAUUUCCUCCCCGACACUCAACCCUGCUCACUGUGAGCAGCAACUCCACAAAACCUGUCCUGGAGCCGUCUGGCAGCUUUGUGCAGCACCACAACGGGGCCAUCCCUUCUGCUGCUGUUUGUUUAGCCUUGGCAUUGCUGGAGGAACAUCUGGGAAUGUUGCUGAGCCUCUGCUCAAAGGGCAGGGACACGUGGGUGUCUCGCCCUGUGCUCUGUGACCCCAGCACCAUUUGGCAAAGGAGAGGCCAAGAACCAAGUGGUGCCUGUCCCCUGGCCAGCCUGCUGUAAUGAGCCACUCUCGUGAUGCUGGCCACCAUCCAGGCACUUGGCCAAACACAGUCCAGACACUCUGACCCUGAGAAUUGGCUCCCAUGCCUGGAAAACCACGUGCCAGCUCUGACCGAGCACCUGCAGGUUCAUUUAUCUUUCACAUUUCCAUCAGCGUAGCCCAGCAAAACCCAGAGCCACGCUGGCAGGCAGCAGAGAGUCCCUCAUAAACAGCCAUGAGCUGGGAAGGACUGAAAAUUCUCCAGGAAAUGCUCAUGGAGGCAGGAGACAGCCACUGAGCACUGAGGAUCUGUGCAGGGGGCAUUGGAGACCAACCCUUCUGCUGCUGGCAAUGCCAGAGAGCCAGGAGAGAUCCUUUGGAUGUCUUUAGGAGAGGAGACAGAGGCAUUCUAAAGCCUGGUCUAGCAGCUUGUUAAAACCUACCUGUCCUCACUGUGGUUUAAAGCCAUAAAUCUGUAUUUAUUGCCCAAAUUAUGUCCUGCAGCCAGCCCCCUUAUCCAUGACCAAAUGUGUGCAAACAAGAUGACCCCCAGAGUGGGGGUUAUGUUUGAGGAUGUUCCAUCACCUGCCUUUAGCAGCAGGAAAAUGAAAUGCUCCUGAGACAGGAGGAACUGAUCCAGCUCCAUUCUGAGCCCAGACUGAUUGCAAAGACAGCGUGGAUGCAAUUCCCAGGAGUCCUGUGGACUUCAGGCAGCACCCAGAGAACACAACAAGGUACUGUGUGAAUAACAUCUCCCUAAAAAUCCAGUUUGGGGGACGUGGUCAUCCUCUGGGACUGUGCAGUUAAAACCAAGAGAAACAGGCAGUGAGAUCAAGGAGAAAAAAACUAAUAAGGGACUUUCACAGCUACCUAAGCAUGAGCAUCUCUCUGUCUGGGAAAACAGAUGGACAGAAGUGGAACAGAAAUGGACAGAAAUACCUGCUAAAGAAGCUGGAGUGGUCACAGAGCAUCACAGCACCUCUGUGUGGCCCAGGGCAUCACCAUGCACAGCACCCAAGAGAGAACCCCAUUGAUUCACCUGCCACCACGAUAUUUUAUGAAAAUCCCUUUGCCAGGAUUUUUUCUCCUGAGAAGCUGAGAAGCCUCAGAGGAAAAGAAAAACAAUCAUUUUCUGCUGCUGUGGAACACAAGAGGUGCAUCUUUGAUUGGUCCAUGUGAGUUGUUUCUACUUCAUGACCAACCAUGGUCCAGCUGUGUCGGACUCUCUGAGAGUCAUGGGAUUUUAUUAUCCAUUCCAUUCCAUUCCAUUCCAUUCCAUUCCACUCCAGCUUUCUGAUGGAUACUUUCUCUCUAUUCUUUUUUGUAUAGUUUUAGUAUAGCAUUUUAAUAUUAUAUAAUAUCAUAAUCUAAUAAACCAGCCUUCUGGAACAUGGAAUCAAGGGACCUGUGAACACAACCACAUUCACCCACGUCAGUCUCUGCCUGCCCUGCUGGCAGCAGGAAGGAGCUUUUCUGUGCCAGGCUGCCCAUCAAUGAGCCGGGCACAAGAGCUCUGCUCUGGCCCAGCAGGGCUGGGAUGAGGGCGCAGGGUCUCCUAGGGAGCCCCAGCCCCAAAAUCAGGAAUUCCGGCUGAGAGCAGCAGGAGGAGCCAGCAGUGUGUGCUCUGCUGUCUGCAGGACAGCUCACACCCAGCGUGGUGUCUGCCUGUGCACAAGGGGCUCCGUCUGUGACUCGUGUUCAGCUGGUGACCCUGUGCCAGCAGCAGCCGUGCCUGCAGGGCUGCUCCUCCAAACCGGCAGCUCACACUCACACAGCGGUGUUCCCAGCCUUCCCAUCACCAUUUCUCAAUUUAUCACAGCUCAAAACCUCUCCUCAGCUUUUAGGAGAAAACCUGCCUUUGGGAGAAAACCUGCCUUAAGGAGAAAACCUUCCUUAAGGAGAAAACCUGCCUUAGAUUUUUUAGGUUUUUCUGUUCUGCUUUGGUGUGCAGCUUUUAGCUUCAUUUUAACUGUUACUGGGAUCUUGUCACAGGGUGGUGAAGACAAAACAAUCCCAUUCUAGCUGGAGACACAAGGACAAUCUCUUCAAACUUCAGGCCCAAAGGAUAAAAAACAUAAGAAGAGGAGGGUGGGCAAGCAAGCAAGGAGAAUGAAACUUCAUCAUUUGAAGCUAUUAAUUGGACAGUUAACUCCUAGAUGCAAAUGAACUAAAACUUAUAAAAAUGUGAGAUCUUGUGACCUCUUUUGCUUCCAUCUUGGAGCCAUCCAGGCAGAGCCAAGACUGUGGCUCUGGUACUGCCAGGGUGUGGCCUUUGAAGGCACUAGAUAUAUAUAUAAAUAAAUAUAAAUAAACAUACAUAUUAUAUAAAUAUAUAAAUUUAUAUUAUAUAUUAU